AGAAUGGCAAAAAUUAGCAAGACAGGAAACAACAUGUGUUGGCAAGGAUGUGGAGAAAGGGAAACCCUUGAGCACUGCUGGACGUAAUGCAAACUGGUACACCCACCUCUGGAAAACAGUAUGGAGGUUCCUCAAAAA